rnacentral:lncRNA from 1 species
UUGACUCUAUUUCUUGUUAAGGCUAUCAGACAUUCUCCAUGAUGUGGACUGAGACUCAUACCUUCGGUCUUUCUGGUACAAAGGUGGUGUCUCAGUGGGCCUUUACACAGCUUACAUUACCACUUUGUGCUGUAUGAUGCACUUGACGCUCACUUGCAGAUAGAAAAAAAAUAUUCUUCACGAACAGAGAACCCCGUAGCCUCUGCUCUAGAGAUCAUUGAUUACAGAGAACCACUCCUUUCAUGUGAAGACAGAAAAAAAGCUUGAAAAUAAAAUCAAAAGGUGUUUUAAAGAGAAGAAAUAA